GAGAGGGAGCAGCUCCAGAGACGCUGCGCGGCGGAUCAGAUAAAAGGCUGAUCACUUAAGCAGCGCUCUCUGCGGGUAAUUCUCCCUGCCUAAAGAGUUCCUGGUGUCAGCAUAUUGCUCGCCUGCCGUAGAGCGCCGUCGAGAGAGAGCUAUAAAACUAUCCACCAGAAUAGAAGCAUCAACAUUUUUCCAGUGGCGUUUGGGCUGGCGGAGGGGGAGCGGGAACAGCUGGCUGAGGAGAGGGGCUCUCGUCUUGUGGUGCAGGAUUUCAUUACUCCUAAUUUCCAGCAAGUUACAGUUCAGGACAUCAUGAAAAUGAGGCAGUGCAAAGGAUACAUUCAGAACUGCCUGGAUGACUUGCAGCCGCAAGGAAAGAUGGACGGGAAGGAGAUAAAACAUUUCCAACUUGUGAGGAAGCUGUGAAGAUGAUUAAUAUAGUGUAACACUACGUUAGCAGUACAGUGUCUCUAGCAUUCCGGUGAUAUUUGGAUGUACCUGACAUAAAACAAUAGGCUGUGCUGCCAUGAGAAGCAAGGUGAGACGUGAGAUGUUCUAAUUGGAAACUGUUAAAAUUGUUCUGCGCCUAUUCUGCAAAUCCACUCUCAUUCCUUACCCCCACAGCGACUAAAGAUACACUAGCCCACUCACAUAUCCUCUCCUUUGACUCUGGUGGCAGAUAUAUUUUAAACAUACACUGACUGACUCCCGGUCCCUGCGUGUUUUGUAUUCUCUCUGAGAGGAGAGACCCUCAGGGCCUGACUCAAGGGGUGAUUUCACUGAGGUGCUUAUGUUAAAGCAAGGAUAUUUUAAAAAAUAUAAUAGAUAUAUAUUUUUGCUUUGCUAUAACUUAAACAACAUUUUUUUGAUUUUUUUUUUUGAGUCAUUAAAAAUGAACAAAUUCUCUUAAAAAUAGAACUGUUGCCAGAAAGUGACUAAUGUCUUAAAUGUGUCAAUUUAGAGAUUUCUCUUAAUCAAUGCCAGAACAUGAAUGUUUGAACACUGACAUUCUGGUGAGGGGCUGGGAAACUAAAAUGGCAUGCUGUUAUUUGCAGUGCAGAGAUUUGUACUUAAACUAUAUUUUUCUCCAUCUCGGAAUCACUAAACGUGCACCCACAGCCAUGGAAGGAGCUCUGUUGCACAGAAUGCGAGCCAGUUCCACAUUGCAGGCCACACAGCACAACAAAAGAAGGGUUCACAAAACAGCAAGCACUAAUACUACAAGAGGAAGGCCCCCCCAGCCCUGGGAAGAAGCCAUCUGUGGCUCAGGGUUUCGUUUAACAAAAGCAGUUUGUGAGCAUUUUCACUCGCAGAUUGCGAUAUCUUGUCAAAAAUGCAUUUCUUUUUCUAAGGAUAGACUGCUCUGCACAACCAGUAGCUUUCUCGGGGUUGUCGGACUAUGGGGUGAAAAACACUAAGCAAAGCCUCUUUCAGUGUCCAGAUGUGCCUGUAAAGUAAUGGCAGUUUUAUACAUUGUAAAUGCUCAGUUUCCCGAGCACCAAUACAGGCGCCAAGUGAAACCUGAACACACAGUUUGGUCUCCCAAAGGUCCUUGGUGCAAUUUGUAGUUAAGACAUUCCAAUCACACAGUAAAAUUUCCAGCGAUAAUUCAACUCUAACAGAUAACAUUGGUCUCUGUGUACAAAAGGGCACCACUUGAAAAACAUUCAAGGCGUAUGUGAGGCCAAUUAGGCUAUAGAGUAUUACUGUAGAUGAUGUGGUUAAAUACCAUGGGAGCACACACCACAGCAACAUUUGGAGUAACUGUGAUUUGUGUCUAACAUUACUAUAAAGAAAAGGCCACAUUAGAUCUACGGGGAGACCUAAUAAUUUAAAUAAAAUUUUAAAUUAAUUGUUAAAAUUUCAUUUUUAUAUUACGACAUAGGCCUACAAUUUCAAUUCAAUCUGACCACAAGUCAAAUUUAUCCAUUCCUCAGAUACCCCUUAAAACUCCUUAGCUCCUGACAACAGUGGCCAGGCCACACAGAGCAGAGGAGCACCACGAUGUUGCACAAAUAAAUAAGUUUGACACAAAACCAAAACGAGGCAGGAGGAUAAGAACGAUAGCAGAUUUACGCACUCUGACGCACUUUGCGACCUGCGUUUGUGGCUUGCAAUUGUGAAACACUCUGAAAAGAGCAGGAGAAAUCUAUCACAUCUCGCAGAGCUUAGCUUGCAUGUCACAGCCUUCCUGAAGCAAGCCACUGCUUUGCAGACCCCCAGUAGUAUUCAAGUAGUAACAUAACCCAGGCUCAGACCUGGGAUGCCAAAGCGAGAGGCCCAGCAUAAGCUUAUGACAGGUUUCCGUAUGAGACCUCAGAAGCCCCAUACAUUUGUGCCUUUUCUAUAAGGUGUAAAAGUUAUAUAUCCUGCUAUGACACUUAUAGGUUUAAAAUAAACCAUAAUUUUUUUGUUCGUAUGCCCUUUGAAUUAUGACUGAAGCCUAACGUGGGAUUCUUUCUCAGCACGUUCCUUGAAUGCGCAUGUUAUUUACAAUUGCACAUCAAAAAAAAGGUAGGCAUUUACAAUUUGGAAAUAUUGCGGCUGAUAUCAAUAACCGAUAUUUGUCAGAUCGUAUUGGCCGAUGCUGAUGCCAGUACCUCCCUGUUGUACAUUAUAGCGCAAAUGCACACUGCAAUUAAACUUCCACAUUCAUGGAAGGGCCAGAUGAGAACAGACAUCAACUUAUAAAGGAAAAUGUCAGAAAUUGUGUUUGUUGAAUGACAUGUUUCAACUUGCGAUUGAGCUGCAAGUAUUAGUCUAGAGAGCUACUGAGUCUUCGUAAAGCUUUGCCUGGUACUUUGACUAGUGAAAAUGAUCACGUAUUAAAAAUAUAUAUUAAAGAGGUACAGAUGGCUCCAGCCUCUGUCACACAUGCAUCUUAACUCGUAAAUGUUCCGGCAAUCUUUCGUGUCGGCGUCAUGUGUGAAGAGGAGCCGGAGUCGAUUUUCUGUGUAAGACGUUUGUCCAAUUUGCCGGGUCAGGACCUAGUGAGAUUUAUGGAAAUCUUACUCCAUGACUCUAAGAUGAAAAAAAGCAGCAACAUUCCCACAUAGCACGCAAAAGGUUAGAACAUUCUUAUACAAGACCUCUUGGUUCUGGCACAAUUUUUUAAAUAAAUAUUUUCCUAAAUCUGUCCUCUCAACAAUUCUUACACCAAUAUGAGUCAUCACACAUAGAAGAUAUUGGAGCUGCAUUGUAUGAUUUUGUGAGGGAAAUUUUAACAUUUAUUUUAGGAAUGGAAUAAACAAUAUCACACUCCUUGCUUGGCAUGGCUUUGUCUAUUUGUAAGAAUAGCAUUACAAAACUGUCAUCAUUGCCUCACAAAUUUCUAAUGCACUAUGCAAUACUUCUCCCGGGCAAAUAAUUGUGCCAGGCUCUUCCAGUUUUAAGUCAUUUUUUGUAGCCAGCUGCCUAGCACGACAUAUCAUUGGCAGAUAUAGCCUGCUAUUUAACUUGGCUAAGUAUUUUUAUUGAAUUUUACCAAAAACAACUCCACAUGUAAGUAUUGAUUUUUAGCUGAUAAACCAAGCUAUUUGGGAUCAUAUAACCAAGCUAUAUUGGCUAAAGAAAUUACCAUAAGUUAUUUUAAUACCAUCACUCUUUAACUGGGUUGUGUUGGUAGGAUUGAUAUCUCUGCAAAACUGUUAUUCAGUGGAAUAUCUGGCUGUUUUAAAGACAGAUUAACGUAGCCAGUGGCGCUGCCAGGGAUUUUUGGCAUCUCGCUUUGGGCCCCACUUCCCCAGAUCACCCCAUCCCUGCACAAGCACAGCACAAUUGUUUUGAGGGCCCCUGUCAGUCAGGGUCCUUGGAAUUGUCCUAACUUCCAUCCCUAUAUGGCACCCCUGAACGUAACAUUAAUAUUUGUCACACAUAGCUUCAGAGGGUAGCCAUUUAGCUUUGCCUAAUCUAUCUGACAUGCCAUGUGUUAACAGACACCACAGGGAAUUUUUCCAUAUAGGACACCUAUGUGUGAAUGGGGAAAAGCACUACCUAACCCGGGAUAAUUGAACCCGGGAAUGUUGGGGGUUCCAUGUGUGAAAGGGGCUUAUGAUAAUGCUACUUUUUGACAAUUACUUUUUUGCUUAAUUUAGAAUAUCAACAGCGCGUCAAUGCGUCACCUCUCUGGAGCAGGUAUGUUGUGUCAUCAUGGCAGCCAUAAUCUCAGCAGCUUGCCAAUGCGAAUAAGUCUGUUUUAAGCUAUUAUCAGCUGAUACCAAUGUGACCCUCAUAUUGCUGUGCAUCCAUAUAAACGGAGACAGAAAAGGCACUGCUGCUGUUCAUCUACAUCAAUUCACAAACAAACAAUAAUUCUGCCUAAAUUGGUAACAAUUAAUAACAAAUAAACAAUAUUCUAGAGUAGCCUGACAAUAAUAAGUGAAAUUGAAAUGUGUUUGGAUCUGCUUGGCUUAGGAACUGAAGUGUUUCAUAUUGAGUUAUCAGCUGCAGAAACACUUUAAUGAAUUAAGUUACCAGGCCACAUUCUCUAUGCAUCUCUGGUUCAGCCUCCACUGCAGUACACUUCUAGAUUAACUUCUUAAAUUGACACCUCCACAUGAAAACAGUUCAUUAAGGAUCUCCACACAUUCUCACAUGGUAAGAAAAGCAUUAAUUAUGGUGAAUCUCUGGAAAAAUAAAAACUGCAAUUUUAAUCUUCUGCAUGUAAGCAUGCACGCACGUACACACACACACACAUUUUUGUAAUAUUUCGCAAAGUAAUGCAAUAUAGCAGAAUUCAAACCUGCAUUGCAUUGUUUAUUUAUGAGUUAUAUGGCAUGGUGUGCAAACAAAAUAAUCUUGAUUCCUCAUUCCUCAACAGCACAAUAAAAACACGCAAUUCCGCUUGCUUUUGGCCACAUGAGCAUCAUCACGGGCUGAGACUGCAAUUCCCCAGACUGGGGGCCACGAUACACCUGGCGGUAGAAUAAACAUGGCAAAUACCCAGCCUGUUAGCUUUAGCUACAGAUUUAAACAGUCCCUGUAAACUUGGGCUAUGCCAGCACUUACUGUAUCACAAUCACAAAAUAAUAGAGCUAACAGCUUGCUAGUACUACAUUCCUGGGCAUGCCUACCCUCAGCACAGCUCUUUCCCCAUCUACAAGUUCUGUCAUCACCAAAGUUACCUUCAAACCCAUACAACUAUUACCCUCAAAGAACUACCCAGUGCUACAGCGGUCCUCACGAGGCUAGUGAUAAAACGUAGUCUGAUAUCAACUGUUUCUCACAGGUUCUACUACUUCCAUUCGGAACCAGGUUUGGCAGUUUUUGUAAGCACAAAAUCAUUUGCCUCUCCCAUCCUAUUAGAGAAAAUGGAUGUGAAGCAAAAUCUGCACCACUUUAGAAAUUGACUCGAAGCCUGGAAUGACAAAUAUAUAUUAUUUUCUUUUAAAAAUGUGUGUUAUGAAUUAUUUGUUAGGCAUUAUCACAUUGACAGUCCAUCAUCAAGAUAUUAACACAGAUAUUGUGUAAUAUAUGUGCAUUUAAAUUUUUGAACUCAAAUGCAAAGUUAUUUUAGGUGAAGACAAAAAGAGACAAAUACAAAUAUAGAGAAUAUUAACAAUCACAGAGAGAUACACGAAUAGCAGGAAUGCUAUUCUAGACGUCUGCUAUUACUGUCACGCUGCCAACCCAUCAUCCAUCAAGAUGUCACUCUGUAUCUGUGGACCCUGAGGAGAGGGGGCGGGGGAGGGGGACUCACACACUAUUGAGUUUUAACACUUCUGUGCAUUCGUUUGACUGUGCCCUAUAUCUGGACUCUCACUCACCUGCUCCAGGAACAAACACACUCUUCCUCAAACACACACACACACACACACACACGCACAUGCACGUACAUCAGCGCACAUUUGCACAAACUAACACUAACUGAAAAAAUGGAAUGCUGCGUCUUUAUAUGCAGGUUUACUAUAGUAUUACUACCACCUGGUGCCCCAUCCCCAGAAGUAAGACUGAAGAGGCAAACAUAAUCUCUAGAUUUUAUGUGUAUUUGAAAAAGAGACCAAAAACAGAAAACACAUAACUGAGAAGUAAACUAAAAAAGAAAACCUUGCCAUUUCUGCCAUGCAUUGAACAUAUAAAGCAAAAAAGUGAGAAAUUAA